AACUCAAAUAUACUACAAACGCAAGAUUGCUGUCCACAUCGCAACCUAGGAUCCGAGUCUUAAGGUCCGUAAGCAGAUUCCUAAAAGUUCAUAGCUCUUAAAACAAGAAGAUAAUCAUAGUACAAAGUAAAAAAAGAAUUCUCUCUUCAAAGUAUCUUCACCUCAGAAGAAAAAAAGGCAAGCCAAGAAGGGAAAUCACUUCCCUCGGAUUCAAGCAUCACAAAAAUUAGUGUCUAAAGACUUACUUGGCUAUCCUAUAUCCUCACCAGUUGCUCUCUCUCUCUCUCUUCCUCCUUCUUUUUUUCCUUUUUUCAUGGGCCAAUGAACACUCCAGGGAUUCCUACAGUCAUCAUGUGAGUCAUCUUUCUUCUGAUCCAGCACCUGGGGCCCCCCUGAUCUGAUAAACGGGGUGGAUGAUGGGUUACAAAAGCUUCCACCUCGUUAAGCUUUUCCUCGUAGUCCUCUUUCUCGGCAUUCUGGUUAUCAAUCCAUCCACUCGGGGUUCCUUCACAGCCGUCUCAAUUUUCUCCUUCUCAUCGGACUCGAGCUUGGUCGGAGAGCUUAUCCUUGUCGUUGAUUGGUCUUCAUGUGGUAGUAACAUUAAGUCUCAAGCUGUUUACGGGAUUCAAUCUUCUCCUCACCUUCUUGUCUUCAUCGCAAAAACCGUCUGCCUCUCUAAACAUCCGAUCAAUCUUUCUGGUAAACGGCCCUGUCAUGGUGAUGUAAUCUUCUCCGGAUUUACUGGCCCUGUGUCUUUCAGCCUUGACGUUGUUAAGAACCAUUGGCUCCAACCUCAAAGGUGACUUCAACUUGAGGGUUCCCUGUUCAAAAAAUGAUCGAUUACUAUUAGUUUCCAACAACAGUAAAACUGAUUUUUUAACUAAUAUGAACAAAAGGCACAAACAGCUAUAACCUUGGAAGAGAUGGAGGACUCCAGUAAGAUCAAAUUUACCAAGCAUCUGAAUCCUUUUGUGAGACUCCUUUCCCCUUUCCAAAAAAACCUGAUACAUCAUGUAAUGAACAGACUCAACGUUAGAAUAACAUCUACAUUGAUUCCACUUUGUAAUUCAUUUCAGUAUAGGGAGGAGGGCAGCGGUAAAUAUUGCGUUAUUGAGAAAGACAAGCACAUGGCCUUGACUGAGACGGGUGGUAUGCGAUCCGGUAAGUGGUGUGAAUGAAAAAUUGAGAUCUUGGUAGAAUAACAAGUGUCCUCGGAAUCACAAUUGUCAUCACCCACAACGUUCAAUUCCAAGGAGUGAGAGGAGCCACAUCCAAGAGAAGAAUAUCUGCAUAGAGAUAACGCAUUAGUCAGUGAGACGGCCACUAAUAUAGUUACUAGUUACGGACUUUCAUCCUAUAAUCAUCGUUUUAGAAAGAAAGAAUUACAGAUAAAGAAAAAGUAAUACGAUUUGGUUCUCGAUCGCCACCCUCUGCCGAGCUCAAAGAAAUCCUCCUGAUACAGCAGACACCAAAUGCAACGGCUUCAUCAGGGUUUCACACCCGUGUGCGGCUCUUCCCUCAAAGUACUCCUUGAGAGUGUUUGAACUUUGGGAAUUCUGGUUUGCUUUCCACCAACAAGAACAAUUUCAUUAUCUGGUUCUUCUCCAAGUCCAGCAUCUUCCAUGCCUCUCACAGGGUCCCAUGGUUUUUCUGAACAAAUCAUUGUUUCAAUUCUUCGAACGAGCUCUGGUCAAUGGUUCCGAGAAAUCAGUGCCAUCAAAAAGGGAUUCAUUUACCACCCGGACCUUGGUGAUGACUGCUCAAGGCACUCGGGGACUCAAUCGCGCCUGUACAUUGUGCCUCUUCUAGGUUUUCCAAAGAGGGCUCUGUUGUCCUUGCUGAUGUCCUUUCGUGCUGUUUUCUUGAUCAACUUGAUUGAAAUACUCCAGAUCCAUCUGAUCAAAAUCCUCCCUGCAAAACGAAAAGCAAAGCUUAGCAAUUGACUAUGACAAGGCAUUUCUUUUCACUCUCGGUCUGUGAGAUUUCAGGGAAAAUCAAAAAAAUAGACAAAACACUCCUACUACACUGUUUAUUACGCUGCCAAUAAAGUUUCUAUAACAAAUGGUAGUUGGUGACCCACACCGCACAGGUUACAGCAAUAAUCAUAUCACCAAUUUCAUUUCUCCAAUGAGGUUCUGGUAUAUAUAAGAUCCGUAAGAAAGAAUGAAAUGAUAUUAUUACUAACAACAUUGUCCUUACCUCCAGAUGAGUUUGUCACCAGUUGUGGCACAAGGACCUCAAAAACACCAUUAUCAAUGGUCAAGCUACUGACAUCGAAUGUCCACACCAAGGUCGAAUCACGAGGUGGUCUUAUCGCCACCUUUUUGUCCAAUCCGUAGGCAAUGGCUGCAGCAGUGAGUCAUUAAUAAAUUUUAGCAACAUUCAGUCCAGCAUAACACAGCAUCCUUGGUAGCCUGCUUUGGGCAAAUCAUUAAAGCAAGCUGCAGUUUGCAAUACAGGAAGGAUUAAAAAGUGAGUACCAAAUAACACAAGAAUCCAU
rnacentral:lncRNA from 1 species